AUGGCCGCAGGGACUCUUCCACUGAUUCUCCGCCUCAUUGCAGUGUGUUUCCCCCAGGUGUGGCAUUGUCAGCUCACGCCACUGACUUCUUUACUCACAGGUUCAACAGCAGAAGGAGACCUUGAUGAGAGUCCAGACAUCGGAGCUGCUUUUCCUUCUCACGCCUCCCUAUGCAGCUCUCUCCUGAAUCAUCAUGCUCCAGUUCUAGCCGAAAUACUGGAUACAAAUUGCCAGCAGGUGGAGUUUUGUAUUACGCUAACUAACUUAAGACCAGUCUUGGACGUCACUUAACUCUGAAAGUAACUGCUCUGCUAUUUUCUCUCUUGCAGAGAUUGUAAUCAGGAGCCUCCUUGUCAAUCAACGCUCCUCUGCAGCAGGUUCUGGGGGAUGCAAGGAUGUAUGUGUUGGGCAUGUCGUGUGACCAAAGAGGGUCAAGGGCAGUGGUCUGUGGACUCAGCCAUCUCUCACAUACACACCUGUUUAUUAAUAUGACCAAGAGUGAUUGUCCUGGAUUCUCUGUGCUUAGUCAAGAAAACUUACCAAGGAUGGAAGAGAGAAGUGACUGGAAGCACAAUUGAAAAUACAGGCACUGUUAACUAGAGGUAUGUAGAAGGAACUGGAGUUAGAUUACUGGUUUCUAGGAGCUGGGGGUAAGAUCUUUUGGGGUGAUUAAAACAUUCUGGAGUUAAUGGUGAUAGUACAAGUUUGUGAAGAUACUAACUGCUAUUGACUUUUAACUCAGAAGAAUGAAUGUGAUGGUAUGUGAAUUUUAAAAUAUUUAAAGGAGGGGCCUGUGCUGUGGCUUAGUGGGCUAAGCCUCCGCCUGCGGUGCCUGCAUCCCAUAAUGGGUUCCGAUUUGAGUCACUGCUGCUCCACUUCUGGUCAGCAUCCCUGCUGAUGGCCUGGGAAAGCAGUAGAAGAUGAUCCAAGGACUUGGGCCCCUGCACCACUAUGGGAGACCCAGAAGAAGCUCUUGGCUCCUGGCUUCAGAGUGGGGAGUGAGCCAGUGGAUGAGAGACCUCUCCCUGUUAAUUCUGCCUCUCAAGUAAAUAAAUCUUUUAAAAAAAUGUUUAAAGGAAAUAAA
rnacentral:lncRNA from 1 species